GUCACGCUGUAAACGAUGUCGAUUUGGAGUUUGGGGGCAUGACCCUUGGGCUCCGGAGCUAACGCGUUAAAUCGACCGCUGGGGAGUACGGCCGCAAGGUUAAAACUCAAAUGAAUUGACGGGGGCCCGCACAAGCGGUGGAGCAUGUGGUUUAAUUCGAUGCAACGCGAAGAACCUUACCUGGUCUUGACAUCCAUAGAAUCUUUCAGAGAUGAGAGAGUGCCUUCGGGAGCUAUGAGACAGGUGCUGCAUGGCUGUCGUCAGCUCGUGUUGUGAAAUGUUGGGUUAAGUCCCGCAACGAGCGCAACCCCUAUCCUUUGUUGCCAGCACGUAAUGGUGGGAACUCAAAGGAGACUGCCGUUGAUAAAGCGGAGGAAGGUGGGGACGACGUCAAGUCAUCAUGGCCCUUACGACCAGGGCUACACACGUGCUACAAUGGCGUAUACAAAGGGAUGCGAAGGUGCGAACUGGAGCGGACCUCACAAAGUACGUCUAAGUCCGGAUUGGAGUCUGCAACUCGACUCCAUGAAGUCGGAAUCGCUAGUAAUCGUGAAUCAGAAUGUCACGGUGAAUACGUUCCCGGGCCUUGUACACACCGCCCGUCACACCAUGGGAGUGGGUUGCACCAGAAGUAGAUAGCUUAACCUUCGGGAGGGCGUUUACCACGGUGUGGUUCAUGACUGGGGUGAAGUCGUAACAAGGUAACCA
rnacentral:rRNA from 1 species